CAUUCCCAUUAAAAAAAAAAAGAAUACAAGAAAAAAAAAACAUAUUUGACAUCUUUUGGUGCUGCAAUCAGUCGCACAGUUUCGCAGCUUGGCCCCAUCGGACUCCCGCAUGGUGGCUGAAGGAAGUGUUUGACUGUGACCACAAAAAAAAAAAGCCUUCAAGUGCUAAAUCACACAAAAAGCGACAGAGCGUGACAGACGGCCCCCGGCCACGAUUGUCCCCUAAAUACACCCGUUGACGUCUACGCACCACUCAAUUUCUGUACUUUUUAAAGAUUUUUCUUUUGACUGAGGAAAAGCUCGCCGUAUGCCGUCGCUCGCCGCUCUCCCGUCGCGUUUCUUUCCUCGCCAUCCGCCGUCAUGCUAAUCCCACAGCCAAGGUCCAAUCCUCCGUACUGCCUCUUAAUCGUUCAUCUCUCCAUCCUGAGUAGCAAAGCUUUAAUCUGAGUCUUUGGUACAAGUGCUUGCUUACUUUUUCGGUAGAUGUUGGCUGGUCACAAAUUGACACAUGCAGACAUGCAAAGACUUGGAACAUCUGAUCCGAAGCGUUCUAAGCGGGUCAGCGACAUUCGCACGUGUGACUUGAUUUUUUGCUGUGCAGUGGAAAGCGGAAGAAAACAUAACGGCGUGAUAAUGUCAUCGGGGAUCCAUUGGACAUGCCUGUCCUAGCAUACUGUUCAUUAUGUAGCGGCGUAAUUUUGAUACGGCUCCCUGGUAUCAAGCAUAAAACAAUUCAGCUACCGCUAUGUUUGAUUUCAGCGAUAAAAGUCCAACUGAAAGAACAUGACGCUUAAAGUCAUUCAAAGAUGGCGAUAUUACUUAUUUACUCCCCCCCACCCCCCGAAUGAGAGAACUCGAAGCAAGUUGAGUCGUGUACUCUGGCAUGAAGUCGAAAUGAUUUCUGUGGGCAGCGGAGAGAAACGGCAGAUAUUAAAGCAUAUCGACUGGAGGUGGGAGUUUUAUUAUGGCCCGGGCGUCAGCUGCGAUAGACCGAGUUGCGGCGGCGGUGAGCAACUUGAGAUGGAGAGUGGAGGAAAGGAGAUGAGUCUGAACUUGAUACAGAAAAGCCCAAAAAGAUAAGCAUCAUCUGAAGCAGAGAUGUGCCCAUAAAUGGAGAAAAUAUCGGUUAGGAAAUAAGGAUUAAAAGCGCUAUCGAGCCGCUGGUGCCACACGAAAAGCAACCCCGACAGGCACCAUUGAUCCUGCGCUUUCUCGACCAGGGCCACCUGAGACGACAACACCUUUCAUCCAUAUUUUUUUCCCUCCUCCUCCCCCCCCCCAGCACUUGCAAUUUCACAUCAUUUGUCCGGCAGUAUUUUUCAUCUUCCUGUCGCGCCGCCUGCGUCACGGCGGAAGAGAAGCGAUAGCCCGCCAUUGUCUGUCGGCUGAUGACUGUAAUUAUACGCGCCCGCACAGCCACUUUGGGGGCCGCAUUGUGCCGUGUAAUGGCGGCCAUCUGAGAGCUGAUGUCAAUACUUCGGCCUUUACUGCGACCAGCCGCAAAAUCGACUGCGACCUCCCUUCGCUAUAAUCCAAUUCAAAGUCCCCGCUUUCCCUCGGGGAAUGACUUACAAAAGAACCCAAUGAUAUACACUUUGGAAAACGCUAGCUUGUUAGCACGGAAGCUAACCGCGGACGUUAGCACGGAAGCUAACUGCGAAAAGUCGCUACGCAGCUGGAACCCACGACCAACCAACCAAAACUUUCGAGACACAAACAAUUGUCAACUGGAGAAAUUAUAUAACUCCAGCAAACAACUAUAUCCAAACAUUACGAAUAGUGGGGCCGCUACUGCUAUCACGUAUGAAAGCAUUUUAUGAGUGCAGUCCCGUACGCUCCCAGCCCUCAAUCGUCCAUUGCGGUUGUGAUAAUGUUGCCGAAAGGCCUUAAUGUUCGUCAUUUAUGUCCACUGUGACCAAAAGAAGGUGGCGGGAUGAGAUCAGAACACACGCGGUUAGCGUUAUUGAAGGAGAAAAAAAAAAAAGGACGUUAAUGGAGUGGUUAAAAAUAAGAAUGAGGACUGGUCCUAAGCGUGGAGCACUCUCAUCUCUCCUUCCACAUCCUGAUAAUAACUCCAUCAAAGAGGGGAGGGGCUUAAUUGCUCGCGUACGCACACACACCUUAUGCCACUGAAAAGGUCUCGGCUCUCGCUUGCUUUCUUUAAAUUUGAAGGUGAGAGCAAGAGAAGACGGUGGAUGUAAUGGCGCCCCAUUGAAGUGCUGAAGGAAAAUGAUUAGAAGGCUUCAGAAGUUGGCAGGAAGCGGAUUAGUCGAGGAAAUUUCUGGAAUAUGACUCACUCCGGCAAAAAGGAAUAAGGUGGAAAGCAUAUAUAGCGAACCCCCAUUGAUCACGGGGAUGUAUUACACACCCACACACACACAUAUAUAAACCAUACUUUUUUUAAAAACACCUUUUUGAACAUAUUCUAACCCACUCGAAAGAUUGCAAGCAGAUAUGUCUCUUUUAGAGGCGGGGUCUGUCUGGGCUUGAGCUGCGGCCAUCAGCGCCAUGGCUCAUUGUGUUGGCGUUUGACUUUUCUCCCAGCGUGAAAUCCACGGCCACCGCGGCUCUCCUUUCCCACGUGAUCGUGCGACAGAAAACGUUGUAUUGUUAAAAACCACUCGUCCAUCCACCAUUAAAAAAAAUAAAUAAAAUACACUAUAGACUUGAAAACCAGGACACAAGCGGAUCACUCUCUUUGUUGAACUCAGACCUCCAUCCGAGAGAAGGUUGACCUCAUUUCCAACGCUCCGUCUACAAGUACCAACGUCUAAUACCCGCCUGGAGCGUCAUCGAGCGGCGGCAUGCGGUUUACACACAACAAACGCGACUCUCUGAACCAUUUCUCGAGCAUCUCGACUGCUGUGACGAUAGCGCUCCUGAAUGCGCUCGUUUCAGUCGGUGUACCUUCGUUCUUGACGCUCUUCUGAAAGACGCCACUGAAUCACCGCGGAGAAAGCGAGAGAUGUGAAUAGCUUCGCUGCCAUCUGGGUAGGACCCAGAUGGUAGAUGGACGCAGGGAAAGGAAGGAUUGAUAGAACGAAAGAGGAAAAGACAGAUUGUGGGAUGGCUGUAGAUGGACGGACGGCGAGAUGCAUUGACAGAUAAUAGAGGAAGUGGAGGGACAGAGAGACGGCGAGAAAGACGGAUGGUAGAUUGAUGAAUGGAUAAGUGGCUGGAUGGACAUUGGAGACGGGGACAAAUGGAUGGAUGGAUGGUCGAGGAUUGACUGUGUGAACAGAGCGAUACCGUCGACACAGUGUCACUGUGUCGACACCUAGUGCGGGACCCCAUGAACACGGAGGAUCUUGUCACGUAAUCCCAUGGAUGCGUUGCAGAUUACGGAGGGAUUAUUAUAACAGCUCUCGGCAACGAUGAGCACGCACAGAGCCGAGUUACCUGCCACAUAAAGUAACGCGUGGUUAACUCAAUUAUGUUUGCCGACAUUAAUUAGAGAUAACGGCUGAGUCCAUUUGAACUCAGUUGCUCACUAAAACCGCGACGCUUUCCAACACACGCAUACAGACACCGGGAUGAAUUAAAGUGCAGCGUUUUAGGGACUCAUAUAAUUUCAGGAUUUUUUUUUUUAAAACAGCCUGCUCAACAGCACGUAACGGUAACUACACUCCACCUUUGACCAGCUUCUAGUUCAACGAACAUGUAGCGGCAACGCAUGCAAACAGAGCAUCCGACCAUACUCACGGCGUAUAUCCUUUCUGCUCUUUGGGAACCGCGACUAUUCGUAGUUCAAUCGGAACCUUAAAAUUGUGAAGCACGUGCGCCAGCGACUCGGCUAACCGAGUACCGUGCGCAUGUAAUGGUGACCUCUCGUCCAAUAUGCCCCCCCCCCCGACACACACACAGCCUCCUCCUACUGCUGCAGAGGCGACAGAGAAUGGAGAUUUAUUUCCAUCCUUUGCAGCAAUCGAUGCAGCGACACGCAACACCUCAACAUCUUCCCUUUUUCCUCCCGUUUAGCGUCCCUCUCCUCCCCGCGCCAUCCAUCUUUGCACCCCCCCCCCCCCCGGAAACCUUCUUAAAUGUCACGGUCGUCUUUUUUUUUUUCUGUCGCCGCGCUUGAUCUCCGCUAAAUGCUAUCGGGCCCCCGCUCGGCGCCACGUUGCGAUCAUCCCCCCCCGGCGGCGUUGUUCUAGAUCUUUCUGCCAGCACGCACUGGAAGCAGCCAGCGACGCGGAGCUCGGCCCACCGGCCUUUGUCCCGGUUACUAAACAACCACGGGAAGGCAGGAUGCCAACCUGGCUGUGGACACCGGAGAAGGCAAUCAAUCUCUCACCUCUGUGCCGCUGACAAAUUAACGCGCAGGUUUAAUGAGAUCGACUGGCCCGCGGCACGCAUGCCCACUCACCGCACUGUCUAACAAACACAGUAGGUCUUAAACCUAAGGCCCCGGGGGCCUUAUCUUGCCUGAAACUGGUGGGGCGCCUCCCUUUCUGCCCUGAGGCGAAAAGGAAAUUGCACUUGUUUACCAAAGUAAAAGCGGUCUUUGCAAAUGUAUGAUUUUCAUUCGCCUGAAAGUGAAGGGCCACAGGAACCGGAGAACAAUGGCUGUCGAGAGAGUGAAAUUUUCGAGAAAAAAAAAGAGCCCUAGUGGCUUUCGAGGCUUUGCAACAAAUGUUUCUAUACCCAAUCCCAGGCUGCAACAAGCCAAAAAAAAGGCACACAUUAUUGGACCAUGUGCUGCAAUUGAAUGUGGCGGACACACACACACACACAUUUAAUCACAGUGGUCCUCACAAGAAUAGUCAUACAAACACACACACACACACACACACACACACACACACACACACACACACACACACACACACACUCCCAGAUGGAGAUGGUAAUUAUUAUCUCAGCAGCCUUUUGGAGCUGGAGGCAAUCACUCCCAUAUUCAGCACAAGGAUGACUGCGGUGCAUCAUCAAGUUUUGGAAGUACGAAGUUUCGGAUGUUCGGGUAUCGGCUGAAAUUUGAUCUUGAACCAAAAAAAAGUAAUAAAAGUAAUAACUUUUCCAGAUGAAAAUGACCUCAAAAGUUUUCAAUGCACAUGUCCAAUUAUUUAGUGUUUCAAUACUUUUUGCACUUAGUGUUCUCAAACGAGGAGCUGAAUGACAAAAUUCACAACAGGUCCUUGAAUUGACCAAUACACGUCCUGUUUCUGGAAGCUCUAUCAGCAGUCGUUAGUUAUGGCAAAAAAUGUCAUCGCCUCUGUUUUUGGAAAACAAAAAUAAGCUAAUAUAUGUUAAAAAUAAAAAGUUUACUUUUAUUUUGAAAUGCCUUGUGUGUCACACUCGAGCUUUGCUUCCUGUUGUCGUGAGGGCCACACCUGUGGCGGCUUGUUCGUCAUGACCUCUGAACCACCGUGUGCAACUGUUUCAAUGCUAAUUCGUUGUUUUGAUUAAGACUUUAAAAUGUUUAUUUUAUUUUAUUUUGUUUAAUGACUUAACGCCAGGUUGCCACUUUUUUUGGGCUAUCCUACAUUCAUGCUGCUGUUUUGGGACAUGAAAGAAGUAAGCAGUUAAAGUUUAUUUGUGUCUAAUGACCCCACCCCACUUGAGUUGCAAACAAUUGCGAAUACUUUUCAAGGUCGGCAGCUGAAGUGGUUUUCAGGCUUAACAAAACCACCACAUAUCAAAUAUCAAAAUAGCCGGAUAAUAUUGCAUUUCAUGAAAUGCGUUACAUUGAAAUAAAGAACUGUAAAAUAUUGAGAAGUAAUUUUUUAAAACCAAGGCAGCUUUCUUGUGGCGCUACUGUUUACCUAAUCCCACGGACUCCUUAGAUAAUACUUCAUUUAAAUAUUAAUGCUUUUAGUCUUUUUUUGUUGUCUUCUGGUGACGUGAGAUGAAUAUUUCAUAACCUGAAGACUCAUGAUGGCACAAAAAAAAAAAGGAAAAAAAAGGAAUUUUGUUUUUUUUUAUUGGCUUGGCAACAGUCACAUUUUCAGGCCCUGGAGAGCAUCAUUACCGAGUGUGCUCUGUGAGAAUUAAAAUAGAUUGGGGGGGGGGAUGCAAAACAAGCAGAGAGAAUGGAAAUGGUAUUUAAUGGGGAGAAAAUCGCAAGAGCUUGAGGUUGGGAGGUUCUGCAUUUUAAUCUCAGCUCUGCGUGCUCAAUCAAUGAGGGGGGGGGGACAAUUCUAUUUAUACGUAGAUAACGUUUCAACAUAAUAGUAUGACAGUUAAGAAAUGUUACUCGAAACAUUGCCUGUACAGUUAACACGCGAUUUACGACGUCCACAUUUUUUUUUUUUUUACUCUAGAAUGCAAAAAUGCACCAUUAAUUCUUAAUUUCCUUUGGGAAUGUUUAUUAGAACAACUUGGAAGCCAACCAGGCUCACGGAACAGAUUGCGAGUGGCUUCUAGUGUGCCGCUUCUGCAAGGCAGCAGCAGGCAGUCGGAAGGGGGAUGGGGGGGGGGGAAGAUACACCCUUCACGGGAGAUUAUGUGGGAAGCUGAAGAGGCCGGCCGCGGUGCAUUGUGGGAGAUUCUUGCUGGUGUUUGAGACGGAGGCAGAGAAAGAUCAGAAGAACUCCUCGCCUGGCUCGCACUUGCUCAGAUGUUGCGCCGGCUUGCUAGCUCACGCUGCCUCCUUUAGCACCUGAAGGCUCGCUUUGUGCGGUUCGAGUGUCACGUCUUGGCUGCUUAGCAACUUUUUUUUUUCUUCCUUCUUCUCCUCACCAUGAUGCUGCUGAAAGUGAAUUGAAACGCUCCACAACAUUUUUUUUCUCCCUAAAAUAAUGUUCGACUCCAAGUUCGGCAUGACCAGAUAUGAAUAAUGUGACCCCCUUCUCUAAUCUACAAACAUUUCCACUCCCGCCCAUCUCUGUCUCUCACAGCAGGGAGCCCCUCCUCGCUUCCCCGCCAUGCCACCUCUUCACCUUCUCCACGCACAAGCGACAAUGCGGAGACACCUCGGGAAGGAACAGCUUGCGGCCCUCCGAUCACUCGCAUCCCGGUUAGCGGCGCCCACGCGCGUAGACGCUCUGGUGUUUACAAGCGACAGCCAGACUCCUGAUGCCAGAGUGUGACAAUUACGGUCCAGCCACUGCCGGAUCCAACUGCAGCCUACGACUGUCUUGUCGAGCGUAGCGUGUGGACUAAAGAGUCUGCUUUGGUGCCACCACAAAAAAACUGCAGUGGACAGUUAGGAUUGCUGGAAAUGAUCAUCGUUACCGUAUUACCCACUCUUGAGGACUUGCAUUGCUGCAAGAACCAAGAGAAGAGCAGGCAAAAUUCUCUCGGACCCUCAACAUCCUGGUCACCACCUUCUCUCAGGUAGGCACUAUUGAAUGAAGCACACCAAAACCUAAAACUAAAACCUCUUCCCAUCAAUUCCCUUAAGAGUUGACUUAAAAUUAAAUUGUGAACCUUGAACAGUUUUACUUUAUUCUAAAAAAAAAUUUGUGACCAAAUGUAAUGUAAAAGGGGUUUGGUUUUGAAGACGAUCAAACACUCUGUUAAGACAAAAAGAGUCUCUUUUCACAAACACACUGUCAACAAUCUCGAAUAAUUAACAUAACGUUUUAACAAAUUAACGAGAGUAAAGGUGAAUUUACUGUGGACACAAUCUGCAUGGAGAUCAAUAUCCACUGGCUACCUGAUUAAAAGUUUGGAAUAUAUUUGAAAGAAAACCUCAGAGGACAGUCGCCUCCUCUCAGUUUUCCACUCGUGUUGGCUCAUCCUUGUUAUCCCCGGGUCGACCUGGUAUCGAGAGCGUCUAAGUGACAGGUGAUAAUUAGCAUCCUGACUCUUGACGGUCCCGCUGCCUCUGUUGACUUAACUCAUGGAUGUGGUCGCCAGCUCUGCCAAUCGGAAGAGAGACGGAAGGAGAGCUUGGAGGAUGCUCGAAUAAAACGGACUUUCAGCGUGUGACCUAACUCCGGCGGGAACCCAAAGUGACAUCAUGAAAUCACUCCAACAAGCAAAGAAUGUAAAAAAAAUAAAUUAAUUAAAGUAUGAAUAAAUAAAUAACCAUAAUGUUAAUAAUAUUACGGUAAUACUGGUAUGAUUUGCACUUGGCGAGACUGCUGCAUUUCAAAAGUCACAAAUAAUACAUGGUAUGAAAGUGAUGCUCUUUGUGCUGGCCAUGUGCAUUCAGCUUUAAGAUCAUUCAUAAAAUAAAAUAAAAAAAAUCAAGACCACGCUUCCGAAACCAUCCUUUGAAGAAUCCCUUUUAAUGUUCUAUACAUGCAUGCGUGCAUGCGAAUGUUUCAGCUCCAAUUGGCCGCAGAAACAAGUCACAGCGGACAAUCACAAGCCUCCUCCCGAGAAAAUCUGAAGGCAUGCAUAGUGCAUAGUCUUACC